rnacentral:rRNA from 1 species
ACUCCUACGGGAGGCAGCAGUGAGGAAUAUUGCACAAUGGGGGCAACCCUGAUGCAGCGACGCCGCGUGGAUGAUGAAGGCCUUCGGGUUGUAAAGUCCUUUUGCCACUGACGAGAACGGACGGUAGGUGGCGAAUAAGCCCCGGCUAACUACGUGCCAGCAGCCGCGGUAAAACGUAGGGGGCGAGCGUUAUCCGGAGUUACUGGGCGUAAAGGGUGUGUAGGCGGUGCUAUAAGUGGGGUGUGAAACACUCAGGCUAAACCUGGGAGGUGCGCCUCAGACUGUAGGACUAGAGUGGGAUAGAGGGGCGUGGAAUUCCGGGUGGAGCGGUGAAAUGUGUAGAGAUCCGGAGGAACACCAGAGGCGCAAGCGGCGCCCUGGGUCCCAACUGACGCUGAAACACGAAAGCUUGGGAGCGAACGGGAUUAGAGACCCCGGUAGUCCAAGCCGUAAACGAUGCAGACUCGGUGUCCACCUUCGCAAGAGGGGGGGCGCCACAGCUAACGCGAUAAGUCUGCCGCCUGGGGAGUACGGUCGCAAGACUAAAACUCAAAGGAAUUGACGGGGGCCCGCACAAGCAGCGGAGCGUGUGGUUUAAUUCGAGGCUAC